rnacentral:lncRNA from 1 species
GUGUGGCUUCUCGCACUCAACCUGAAGCUCUGUGUCACGUUGUGGCUGCUCGUAGCGUUAAACAAAGGUCCAAGCUUCCUGUCAAUGUCUGCUGUGCUGGCAUAACACUGAUAAUUGCUCCUUGUCCUGAACCGAGGCCUUGGCUAUUACUCUCAUCCUACGCAGCCUCACUCGGGAGGCUUCUGGACAGCAGAGAGGAUAAGGACACCAUCAAGUCCUCCAACAAGCCUCGCAGACGGCACAAACCUGGAAAUGUGUGCCUGAUGUUCGCUAUUGUUUUUGAACAAGUCUUGAAAUAUCAGCAAAGCCAGGUGUGCUGUGCACCUCCUUACCCCGGGUAUCACUCUCAUGCUACACGGCCGAAAAAGACUUCUGGGCAUCAGAGAGGACAAGCUCCCCAUCAUGUCCGCCAACAUAUCACAUGGGUCAUGGAGUGUUGGGCUGCUCUGCCGGUGCGAGGCAUGUCUAACCUUUAGCUGCUUCUGAGCAGAUCUCAUGAGGAAGGAUAUUUGCCGUCUGAGCUCUUGAGAGCCCUUGCUUUCGGAAAGCACACACAUCUGAAGGUGCUUCAGAGGUGCUUUUGCUUUUUCAUGGCUAUAGAUGUAUUCUAUAUACUGUAUGUAUUGUGCACUGGUGAUGAGCUCUUUGAGGCGCACUUUGUGAGGCAGGUCCAUCAGUCCUACAUAAAGCUUUCAGAAUGAUUAUGCUUGAGAAAUGUACCCUCUGUUGUAUCUUCAGGUUCCCUUUGUAGGUUUUCUCUUUCCCCGAGUAGAGCCUGCUGAAUGACUGCAUGGUCACAGCCUGGCCGUGCGUUCACACCUGGUUAAGUUGAAUUUUUGAUCGAAACAGCCGUUGCGUUGUUGCAAUCUUCCAAAGGUUCGGAUCAGUUUCACGUAAGUAAACAUCGGACACAAACGAUUUGAUUCUUCGAUGGGGAGAAAUGAUGAAACGGACGUGAAUCCCUUCAGGAAGUGUUUACAUUCAACAGGCGCACAUAAUACAUUGUUUGCUGCUUCUCACAUUAUCAUUGAUUGCACCUCUUUGGAGUUGUUGUCAAAGAACAAUGGAAGAGAGGAUACGUUGCACUGAAGCAAACAGGCAGGUGAGUUUGUUGAACACCCUCAGGAUUUACAUUUAAAAGAGAUUAGUGAAACUAAUGGGAAAUAUUGUCAUGUUUGUGUCAAUGUUAAUUUGCUACCAUCUUUCAUUUCAUUGUUUCAUGUGAAAAAAUGUAACCUCAUAACUAUUCAUUAUCCUGACAGGAGGCAGAGCAGGUUGUUGACAUGUCUUGGACAUUUCACAGUAACUGCCAGGUGGAGAGCAGAGUGUUCUAUCGACAUGGCUCAAGACAUAGCCAUGGCAUGUGUGGCUUU